rnacentral:rRNA from 1 species
UAAUACGAGGGGUGCAAGCGUUGUUCGGAAUUACUGGGCGUAAAGGGAGCGUAGGCGGAGAUUCAAGCGGAUUGUACAAUCCCGGGGCCCAACCCCGGCUCUGCAGUCCGAACUGGAUCUCUUGGAUAGUUCAGGGGCAGGCGGAAUUCCUGGUGUAGCGGUGGAAUGCGUAGAGAUCAGGAAGAACACCGAUGGCGAAGGCAGCCUGCUGGGGACUCAUCGACGCUGAGGCUCGAAAGUGCGGGUAGCAAACAGGAUUAGAUACCCUGGUAGUCCGCACCGUAAACAAUGCAUACUGGGUGUCCGGGGGUAUCCCCGGGUACCGUAGCCAACGCGUUAAGUAUGCCGCCUGGGGAGUACGUACGCAAGUAUGAAACUCAAAGGAAUUGACGGGGGCCCGCACAAGCGGUGGAGCAUGUGGUUUAAUUCGAGGCAACGCGAAGAACCUUACCCAGGCUUGACAUCCGGGGCACCGCGGCGAAAGCCGCGUCCCAGCAAUGGGCCCCGAGACAGAUGCUGCAUGGCUGUCGUCAGCUCGUGCCGUGAGGUGUUCGGUUAAGUUCGGCAACGAGCGCAACC